rnacentral:rRNA from 1 species
ACGUCAAGUCCUCAUGGCCCUUACGGGCUGGGCUACACACGUGCUACAAUGGCGACUACAGAGGGAAGCAAAGCGGCAACGUGGAGCCAAUCCCCAACAGUCGUCUCAGUUCGGAUUGUCCUCUGCAACUCGAGGGCAUGAAGUCGGAAUCGCUAGUAAUCGCGUAUCAGCAUGACGCGGUGAAUACGUUCCCGGGCCUU